rnacentral:sRNA from 1 species
CAUGUGGCGGUGGCUAUAACAAGGAUUAUACGGUGGCGAAUUACAACAAGCAAAUCUCUCUCAAAAAAAAUCUAACAAUUGGUGUAUGAGUGUGUGUGUGCCAAAAUGUGUGUUUUACUAUAGUAGCCAAACCAAAAAAAGAAAAAACGACAACAAAAAAAAUUUUAUUACUUUGCUAAUGUUAGACAUACCUGUAAUGGUAUAGCAAAAGCAGAAAAAUCUAACAACAACAACAAAAUACUAAAAGCUUGAGAUAUGGAUAAAACUUUAUGUACUACCUACCAAGUGUGUAUGGGCAUUACAUCUCUAAAACUAUGGGAAUGAGGCUAGAAUAAGCAAAAACCAAUUCAAACAAAAACAACAUCAGCAUCUCGACAUCAACAACCGCAACAAAAACAAAAGUUCUGCUUUCGGUUACAAAUUGAAAAAGGACGUGUUGGAUUUUCAAGAAUAUAAUAACACCAAACAGCAAUUGAAACAAAACAAAAACAAACAAAGAUAUUCGUUAAAGGCAAAAAAGGCCUUAAGGCAUAAAUCUUCCAAAAACCAAAUCCUCUUAAAAUUUUAAAAAUAAGAAUGGAAAAAACUCUCUUAUUUUUCAGCCGGCAAUAUGUUUGUGAUAAAAUGCCAAAGUAAAUUAGUGGGGCAACUCUGCCACGGUGCUAUAAAAGUGUAAUGGAAACUUUAUUUAGAGGCCAAAUUAACUAAAAUACAAAAGUGUAGGAAAUAAACCAAACAAAACAAAAGCCAGCAAAAAUUUGCUAAUAAUCGCAAAACAAUAACAAAGCCAUAAAGGAAAUAUAAAAAUUAACAUAACAAGAGAAUAACAACUACCCACAACAACAACAACAACAACAGAAACAGAAAUAAUCUCCCCUAAAUUCUGCUGAGCCAGCAACAGCAGCAGCAGCAUCACUACCACUACCACUAUCAACAACAGAAACAAUAGAAAAUAACCAUCAGUUUGACACAAACAGCAUGGAUGUUCUAGCAAAGGCAAAUCAAAUGGACCCAUCGAAAACUUUAG